GGGAUUUGAACUCAGGAUCUUCA
rnacentral:piRNA from 1 species